rnacentral:rRNA from 1 species
UACGUAGGGGGCAAGCGUUGUCCGGAAUCAUUGGGCGUAAAGAGCGUGUAGGCGGCCCGGUAAGUCAGCUGUGAAAGUCAAGGGCUCAACCCUUGAAUGCCGGUUGAUACUGUCGGGCUAGAGUCCGGAAGAGGCGAGUGGAAUUCCCGGUGUAGCGGUGAAAUGCGCAGAUAUCAGGAGGAACACCGGUGGCGAAGGCGGUUCUCUGGGCAUGAUCUGACGCUGAGGCGCGACAGCGUGGGGAGCAAACAGG